GCUUGCUUCGGCAGCUUAUAUACUUAAACAAAUUGGAAGGAUACAGAGAAGAUUAGCAUAGCCCCUGCGCAAGGAUGAAAUGCUAAUUUGUGAAGCCAUGUUAAAAAAA